UACGAAGGGGGCUAGCGUUGUUCGGAAUUACUGGGCGUAAAGCGUGCGCAGGCGGCUUCUCAAGUCAGGGGUGAAAGCCCAGAGCUCAACUCUGGAAUUGCCUUUGAGACUGAGUGGCUUGAGUAUGGGAGAGGUGAGUGGAAUUCCCAGUGUAGAGGUGAAAGUCGUAGAUAUUGGGAAGAACACCGGUGGCGAAGGCGGCUCACUGGCCCGUAACUGACGCUCAGGCACGACAGCGUGGGGAUCAAACAGG
rnacentral:rRNA from 1 species